GAGAACCACCUCUAGUUGUAAGAACCAUGGGAACCAGUUUUUAGCCCUUAGAUCAACAUGAUGGAUGGAUGAGAUUAAAUGAAUAUAAAAAUAUUUUCCAACUCUUUUUGUCUUUUAUGAUUUUGAUUUUUUUAUUCACAAAAGGGUAUUUAUGGAAACUAAUUUUAAUGCCAGUAGUCAUAUCCUGCACAUUUCAGCAUGCAUGUCUAAUCAAAUAUUAAAAACUUUCAAUUCUCUAUGUUUACUUCUUGCCUUCUUCCAAUCUUCGUCAUAAACAAUCAGAAAAACAUCAAACCCUAGAGAAACUAUUUGCUCUCCUCUCUUAGGCGACGAAGAAACACCCAAAAAUUCGUUCGGCGAUUCCGAUUUCGGCGUCCACAUUUGAAACGGCGAGGACUCCUAGGUUCAAAUCCAGGAGAAAAAACGUUAACAGGUGUUUACAAGGAAAAAAUGGUUGCACAUACCAGAAGCUUGAGCCGGGGGAAGGGGAAGACAAAUUUAGAACCAGAUGUUAUAUGCGUUAGUUCCGGCACGAGGUCCCGGCGUCAGCGCAAUAGUCAUGUCGCUUGUGUGCUCUUUGACUCGACCGAAGAAGAUGUCACGCCCCCACGGGCGAACAUCAAACGGCAGAUAACGAAGCGGAAGCAAACGGACUAUUGUGGCUCCCCGACGAAAAAGAGGAAGAAA